GAGGAGGAGGACGCCAGCAGGUGUCGGCUGCGCUUGGCAAAGACUCUGAGAAGGAGCCAGACUCAGACGGGAGCUGCCGGCGUGGAGCAGGGAGGAGAGAGAAUGAGACUCCAAAUACUGUGCCCCUCAGUGCCGGGACUGCCGACAGAUCUCCGGACCCCCAGAUUCAGCCAGGUCCGACAGCGUGUGGGUGGUCCCCUGGACGCCGUGUGCUGCACAGGGACGCGCGCUUGGCCGCCAGCCGGGAGACCGGCUCAGACACGUGCCCCUGCUUCUUGAAGUUCGGCCUGGCUGCGUGACCGGCUUUGAGGCUUUGAAGGUCCUGGAUCCAGGCUGAUGAACGCACAGAUGUGAAUCCUGCCCUCCCCACCCCAAGCCGGGAGAGUGGCGAGGACUCCGAGGCCACGUUCUGAGCGGGAGGCACGCACCGUUCCUGAGACCUCCAGUGUCCCCGACCAGAACCGCCUGGGCCUCCGGGCCGGUCAUGCAUUGAGCGGACACACCCCUGCCUGGCCUCGGGGCCGGCAGCAGCGCCCACCUCUCCGGAGCCACGGUCGGUGCAGGAGGCCGCCUGAAGCUGGACGCCACCAGUGAGUGCGGGGCCAAAGCGCGUUGGACCGCGAGCCGGACGUCCACGCAUGGAUCCCGCCAGUCAGAAACCAGGUGGCCGGCACCAUCUGCCCUCAGCCCUCAUGGACUGCGCGGCUUUGAGAAAGAUACUUAACCUUCCAGGCCCGUUUCCUCUUCCGUGUCAGGGAGAGUGACUCCACCCCUGUGUCGGCUUGUCCAGCCGCGGUGCUUAGCGCCCAGCGCGGAGCCCAGUGUCAGCAUGUGCUUGUGUUACUGUCCUUACCGCGUACAGUGGUAAUACUGUGACCCCGAAACAGGACAGGGGACCUUCUUGGACUCGGGUUGUUAGCGAUUUUAUAACACGUGUGGUUUUUU